ACACACACACAUGCCUAGUGAAGUAUUAAGCAUGUGUAAGAGCUAGCUGUGGUUACACACCUGUAAUUCUAGUUCUCUAGAGGGGGAGGGUCAGGGGAAUGCUUUAUCGAGCCAAUGGAAAGGAGCGUUUUGGUUCAAAAGGCAGAAUUUUGAUUGUGACCCAAAAGAUUAGAUGGAGCCCAGGCGCCGGCGGGCCUUUCUGGAACAAGGAAAGGGAGUGGAAGCUUUGGCGGUGCAGCUGGCGAUCCGUUUCGGAUUCCUCAUUCUUUGUUGUGAUUACUUUGCGCGGAUUUGGCCUGAUAACAAACGCUCUUCGUGCCUGCCUGUUUCCCGGUCUGGGCUCAGCACCGAGGAUUACUACCCACCCCCGACCCCCCAACCCCUAUUACAGAUUUUGCUUUGGAGAAGCACUGGGGCAGAGUUUGGUACAGCCGCUGUGAGCACUAAUGCAGUUGCCCUGCUCCUGAGCUACCUUGGUGUCACACCUGCUCCACCUGCUGGCCAAACGUUGUCACUAAAUCUACACGACCCAAUUCUCUGAGGAUCGAAACUCUGGUGAAUCGCUUGAGAACGUUUAAACGGGAGAGGUGGAUAGCAAGGUGGAAGCUUCACCCUUGCCCCUGGCAUUCAUAUACCCAGAGUCUGGAAUGUUAUCCUCAGCCUGGCGGAGAAUAACGCGACACAGACUUGGUGACUCUCAUUGCCCUCUCUGAGCCAAGGGUAACGCUGCAGGUAUUGGGGUUUCUGUCUCGCGCAAUCGCCUCGCCAGCAAGAACCACACAGGACAUUCGGAUCCUUCU